rnacentral:miRNA from 1 species
UCUGAAUAGAGUCUGAAGAG